rfam:Dethiosulfovibrio peptidovorans DSM 11002 ctg1, whole genome shotgun sequence.
GGCCCAGUCCCGUGCGGCGAGAGCCCGUGAACCCCGUCAGGUCCGGAAGGAAGCAGCGGUAAGCGGUGUCCCUUGGGUGCCACGGCCACCUGGGUCUCC